rnacentral:lncRNA from 1 species
AAGAACUCAACAUCAAUGAAGAACUAUUCUUCAUCAGUUUUCUUUUUGAUUCUGCUGGUUAGUAUGUUCUUGAAUGUUGCCCAUUGCCGAGUCCUUCGACCCACGGAUAGCGUGGAUGCUGCAAGCGAUCAACAAAUUGAAGGGGCUGGUUCAAAAGGCAUGACUACUUUUGCUGUUUCCUCCAACAAUUCCAGUAGGGGUAGUAGUACUAUGGAAACAGUGAGAAGUUCG